GCCGUUGUGGCGGAAUUGGUAGACGCGCUAGGUUCAGGUCCUAGUGUCCGCAAGGGCGUGGGUGUUCGAGUCACCCCAACGGCACCA
rnacentral:tRNA from 2 species